rnacentral:tRNA from 1 species
GGUCUCAUAGCUCAGCUGGUAGAGCAACGGACUGAAAAUCCGUGUGUCGCUGGUUCAACUCCGGCUGGGACCACCA